ACUACAAGGAUUUGCCCAGGAUUGCUUCAUGUAGGAAGCUCAUGCUAUAUGAAAUCUCAUGUAGGAUUGCUUCAGGAGUGCAAAACUAGUGUUUCUUAAGUUCCAAACUGCCCAUACUUUAGAGCUAAGCUGCAGUAUUUUGGUUAAGAACUACUGCUAGUUCAUAGUUGAACUGUUGCUAGAUCAUAGCAUCCCUGGUUGUCUUUCUCCGCCAAGUCCUUUUCUAUCACCAUCGCUGCAAGGCCACCGCAGGUAUGAAUAAUGCAUCGUCCUCUCUCACUCCUGCUUCCUAGAUAUGAACUUCCCAGGUCCGCUGAAGCUCACUGCCGAUGAUGGCGAUGCGAACGCACUUGUCUAAAAUUCUUGGUCACUGCUUCCGAACUUCUAUGAUGUAGGCUAGUAUGGUAGUACACUUCUGUUCUUCGUAUAAAAAGUUCACUACAUGUACAUGGAGAAGUUCAUCUCUGAGUUAAUUUAUGUUACAUUCUACAAUCCAUACAAUGUCGUUUUCUACUUUCCUGAUAAUAGUGAGGAAAAGCUUAAGAGAAAUUAGAACUCCACAUCUUUAACUAUAGAGGUUCACCCAUGUGAUAAGUUAGCAUGCUCAUUGGAGGCAGUGCACCUAUAUUAAAAUUUACUAGUACCACAAAUGGCCUUAGAAAUCAACAGCUUGGCACAUUUAUCUUUUUAGCACGUAUCUGGCUGUAGUUCAGUUAACUUUUUGGCAUUGUUCAUAUAUUGGGUGCUUGAAGUGCAGUUUGUAGGCUCUUGUCGCGGCAUAAGUUAGUUUUGAUUGUUCAAUACUACGUUAGUUAACACAAAAUUCACUCACUUUGCACAGAAAACUCACUUUUAUGGGGAAGUUCAAUAAGUCCAUGAUUAAAAAUCACUUUUCUGUUGUCUGUGCACUUCGUACAGCUAGGGUGUUUACUAUGUUCAAUUCUUCUAAUCCGUGAAGCUCACUUCUCCUAAUCUGUGAAGCUCACUUCUCUUAAUUCACGUAGUUCACUUCUAGGAAGGAUAACAAGAUCCAUCUUGAGGUAACGAUGCUUUUCCGCAAGCUGCUCUCUGUAUGGUGUUUAUUAAGUUAACUUCUUCUAAUCCGUGAAGCUCACUUCUCCAAAUCUGUGAAGCUCACUUCUCUUAAUUUGUGAAGUUCACAUCUACUGUUAUUUUCAUUUUAUAUAUUCCCGCUAGAUAUAAUAUUUGUGAAUUUUGUGGCUGCGGGAUGGAUGAUCCGGUAAUACUCCAUGGGGAUUUCAACGCUAAAACUUAAGCAUUGCAACGAGCUUGGAAUUCUUGCGGCUGGCUCCUUGCGGUUGUCACUGCAAGUCAUGCUCUUCAUUGCGUGAAGCAGCCGAGCACAAGUGCACAACAGGAAUAAAGAAAUGUAGCUACACUGGACUUCCAUGUCAGUGCCUUCAUAUGCAUCUUUUCCUCUUGGCACAGCGACGCCGCCAGUGACAAGGUUGCUGGCCACACAACUGCAUCUGCUACGCGAGUAACGCUGCUCUUUGAAUCCCUCAUGCGUUCUCUUGUGGGUUUUCAAAUUUUAUUGCUUCUGUUCAUUUCCAUUUCAUAUUCUACCAGAAGUCCUCCAGGCGCCGCAGGAAGCUCGCUAUGGGAAAUUAGUAGUUCACUAUUUCUAUGGCGUGGAAAUUCAGUUCGACCGGGACAGCAAUUCAUCUAAAAAUGCUAGAAGUUCACUUAUUUUCGUAUUUGAAGUGAGUACCUAGUGACUGCAAGUAGAAACUUAGGGUGAUAUUUGUAUUUCGUUUUCUAUCUCUGUAGUCCUAUUCUCAGUCUUAUAAUGAUAAAAGUAAAUUUGGCUUUUUUUGCUAGGUGAACCUAAUGCUAUUUUCUAGCUUCGCUCUCUCACCCAUUUUUGUAUAAGUUGUAAAAAGUUAAUACACAAUACAUUUAUUAACUUUGAGAAGUUCGCUCAUUGA